UGGGGGACAACAUCUCGAAAGGGAUGCUAAUACCGCAUACGCCCUACGGGGGAAAGCAGGGGAUCACUUGUGACCUUGCGUUAAUAGAUGAGCCUAAGUCGGAUUAGCUAGUUGGUGGGGUAAAGGCCUACCAAGGCGACGAUCUGUAGCGGGUCUGAGAGGAUGAUCCGCCACACUGGGACUGAGACACGGCCCAAACUCCUACGGGAGGCAGCAGUGGGGAAUAUUGGACAAUGGGGGGAACCCUGAUCCAGCCAUGCCGCGUGUGUGAAGAAGGCCUUAUGGUUGUAAAGCACUUUAAGCGAGGAGGAGGCUCUCUUGGUUAAUACCCAAGAAGAGUGGACGUUACUCGCAGAAUAAGCACCGGCUAACUCUGUGCCAGCAGCCGCGGUAAUACAGAGGGUGCGAGCGUUAAUCGGAUUUACUGGGCGUAAAGCGUGCGUAGGCGGCUUUUUAAGUCGGAUGUGAAAUCCCCGAGCUUAACUUGGGAAUUGCAUUCGAUACUGGGAAGCUAGAGUAUGGGAGAGGAUGGUAGAAUUCCAGGUGUAGCGGUGAAAUGCGUACAGAUCUGGAGGAAUACCGAUGGCGAAGGCAGCCAUCUGGCCUAAUACUGACGCUGAGGUACGAAAGCAUGGGGGAGCAAACAGGAUUAGAUACUCUGGUAGUCCAUGCCGUAACGAUGUCUACUAGCCGUUGGGCCUUUGAGGCUUUAGUGGCGCAACUAACGCAAUAAGUAGACCGCCUGGGGAGUACGGUCGCAAGACUAAAACUCAAAUGAAUUGACGGGGGCCCGCCCAGCGGUGGAGCAUGUGGUUUAAUUUGGUGCACGCGAAUGACCUUACCUGGUCCUUGACAUAGUAGAACUUUCCAAAAGAUUGAAUUGGUGGCCUUCGG
rnacentral:rRNA from 1 species